GGGCCUGCCGUGGGCGCAAACCCGAGCCAGAGCCCGAUUAAGUGGAAGCCGCGUGCCCGCAUCGGUACUCCCUAAUAACUUCUUCCCCUUUCCACCUUGUCGGCGAACACCCACCAUAAUCCCCACGCCCGAGGCUUCCUCCCGCGGCGAAACCCUAGCGACCGGAGCGCUCGGCGGCGCAGCCAUGGCGGACGACGAUUACAAUGAAGUUGACAUGGGGUAUGAGGAUGAGCCUCCAGAAGCUGAUAUUGAGGAAGGGGUUGAAGAAGAUCCUGAGAACAAUGAGGAUGCCCCUGAUGAUGUGGUAGGGGGUGAGGGUGAAGAAAAGGAACAGGAAAAGACUGCCCGUCCACGCAAUACAACAAAAUAUAUGACCAAGUAUGAGCGGGCACGCAUCCUUGGCACACGUGCUUUGCAGAUAAGCAUGAAUGCCCCAGUUAUGGUUGAGCUUGAGGGCGAAACUGAUCCUCUUGAGAUUGCCAUGAAAGAACUGAGAGCACGCAAGAUCCCCUUCACGAUUAGGCGGUACUUACCUGAUGGAAGCUACGAGGACUGGGGAGUCGACGAGCUCAUUGUGGAGGACUCGUGGAAGCGUCAGGUUGGCGGGGACUAAAGCUGGUAGACUGUUUGAAUGGAAGGCUCUGUGCUGCAACAAAACCUUGCCCUAGUAGCUAUAUGCAAUGCUUAGCACUGAACUGCUGUGACAAUGUUAUGUUACCGUAACAUGUGUGGGCUAUGUCUGCCCAUUGUGUUGUGCUACUACUGUAAACCAAUUGCGUGGUUGCGUUAGUUUGCUUGGACCAUUGCUUGCAUGCAGCUACAAGUUGCUAAUGAAUACCCUACUCUAACCUCCUUUUGUGAGCGUGGUGCAGGACAUUCUGCCGAUUAUUUCGUGUUCACAUUUUGUAG
rnacentral:rRNA from 1 species